GACGAACGCUGGCGGCGUGCUUAACACAUGCAAGUCGAACGGAAAGGCCCUGCUUUUGUGGGGUGCUCGAGUGGCGAACGGGUGAGUAACACGUGAGUAACCUGCCCUUGACUUUGGGAUAACUUCAGGAAACUGGGGCUAAUACCGGAUAGGAGCUCCUGCUGCAUGGUGGGGGUUGGAAAGUUUCGGCGGUUGGGGAUGGACUCGCGGCUUAUCAGCUUGUUGGGGGGGUAGUGGCUUACCAAGGCUUUGACGGGUAGCCGGCCUGAGAGGGUGACCGGCCACAGGGGCACAGGGGAGCGACCAAGGCUCAUGGGGGGGCAAGGAGGGGGAAAUUGUGCAAAAGGGGCGGAGGCCUGAAGCAACACCGCCGGGGGGGGAAGGACGGCCUGGGGGGUGUAACGGGAUUUCGCUGGUAACGAGGGGUGGGGGCGGGAACGGGAGAAAGAACCACGGGCAAAUUACGG
rnacentral:rRNA from 1 species